AUUUGGAAGUGAGGAAAAGUUUGUCACAAACCAUUCCCACACUCUAAACUACAAAGCAUGAUCCAAAAAGAAGAGCAAGUCGACAUUAUUGGGUGCAUUUGCAGUCACGGGUUUUAUAUCAGAGUGUCC